AGUGAACGCUGGCGGUAGGCCUAACACAUGCAAGUCGAACGGCAGCACAGUAAGAGCUUGCUCUUACGGGUGGCGAGUGGCGGACGGGUGAGGAAUACAUCGGAAUCUACUUUUUCGUGGGGGAUAGCGUAGGGAAACUUACGCUAAUACCGCAUACGACCUACGGGUGAAAGCAGGGGAUCUUCGGUCCUUGCGCGAUUGAAUGAGCCGAUGUCGGAUUAGCUAGUUGGCGGGGUAAAGGCCCACCAAGGCGACGAUCCGUAGCUGGUCUGAGAGGAUGAUCAGCCACACUGGAACUGAGACACGGUCCAGACUCCUACGGGAGGCAGCAGUGGGGAAUAUUGGACAAUGGGCGCAAGCCUGAUCCAGCCAUACCGCGUGGGUGAAGAAGGCCUUCGGGUUGUAAAGCCCUUUUGUUGGGAAAGAAAAGCAGCAGGUUAAUACCCCGCUGUUCUGACGGUACCCAAAGAAUAAGCACCGGCUAACUUCGUG
rnacentral:rRNA from 1 species